rnacentral:rRNA from 1 species
AUUGGACGCUGGCGGCAUGCCUUACACAUGCAAGUCGAACGGCAGCACGGGGGCAACCCUGGUGGCGAGUGGCGAACGGGUGAGUAAUGCAUCGGAACGUGUCCUCUUGUGGGGGAUAACCAGUCGAAAGAUUGGCUAAUACCGCAUGAGAUCGAGAGAUGAAAGCGGGGGACCCGAGGGUAACUUCGGGCCUCGCGCGAGAGGAGCGGCCGAUGCCGGAUUAGCUAGUUGGUGGGGUAAGAGCCUACCAAGGCGACGAUCCGUAGCUGGUCUGAGAGGACGACCAGCCACACUGGGACUGAGACACGGCCCAGACUCCUACGGGAGGCAGCAGUGGGAAUUUUGGACAAUGGGCGCAAGCCUGAUCCAGCCAUGCCGCGUG